UACGUAGGGGGCGAGCGUUGUCCGGAAUUACUGGGCGUAAAGGGUGCGUAGGCGGUUCGUUAAGUCUGUCGUGAAAUCCCCGGGCUCAACCUGGGAAUGGCGAUGGAUACUGGCGAGCUAGAGUGUGUCAGAGGAUGGUGGAAUUCCCGGUGUAGCGGUGAAAUGCGUAGAGAUCGGGAGGAACAUCAGUGGCGAAGGCGGCCAUCUGGGACAACACUGACGCUGAAGCACGAAAGCGUGGGGAUCAAACAGG
rnacentral:rRNA from 1 species